AGUUUGAUCAUGGCUCAGGACGAACGCUGGCGGCGUGCUUAACACAUGCAAGUCACGGGGGUCCGCAAGGACAACCGGCGAACGGGUGCGUAACACGUGAACAACCUGCCCUCGUGUGGGGGAUAGCCGGGCUAACGCCCGGGUAAUACCGCAUACGUUCUCGUUGGGGAGUCCUGACGAGAGGAAAGCUCCGGCGCACGGGGAGGGGUUCGCGGCCUAUCAGCUUGUUGGCGGGGUAAUGGCCCACCAAGGCGACGACGGGUAGCUGGUCUGAGAGGAUGGCCAGCCACAUUGGGACUGAGAGACGGCCCAGACUCCUACGGGAGGCAGCAGUGGGGAAUCUUGCGCAAUGGUCGAAAGACUGACGCAGCGACGCCGCGUGUGGGAGGACGCCUUUCGGGGUGUAAACCACUGUUGCCCGGGACGAACAGCCUUUUUCGAGAGGUCUGACGGUACCGGGUGAGGAAGCACCGGCUAACUCCGUGCCAGCAGCCGCGGCAGUCGGGCCCAAUCGC
rnacentral:rRNA from 1 species